GGGCUUUGAGCAACCUGGUCUAGUGGAAGGUGUCCCUGCCCAUGGCAGGGGGAUGGAACUGGAUGAGCUUUAAGGUCCCUUCCAACCCAAACCAGUCUGUGAU